rnacentral:rRNA from 1 species
AGUGAACGCUGGCGGUAGGCCUAACACAUGCAAGUCGAACGGCAGCACAGGAGAGCUUGCUCUCUGGGUGGCGAGUGGCGGACGGGUGGGGAAUACAUCGGAAUCUACUCUGUCGUGGGGGAUAACGUAGGGAAACUUACGCUAAUACCGCAUACGACCUACGGGUGAAAGCAGGGGACCUUCGAGCCUUGCGCGAUUGAAUGAGCCGAUGUCGGAUUAGCUAGUUGGCGGGGUAAAGGCCCACCAAGGCGACGAUCCGUAGCUGGUCUGAGAGGAUGAUCAGCCACACUGGAAAUGAGACACGGUCCAGAAUCCUACGGGAGGCAGCAGUGGGGAAUAUUGGACAAUGGGCGCAAGCCUGAUCCAGCCAUACCGCGUGGGUGAAGAAGGCCUUCGGGUUGUAAAGCCCUUUUGUUGGGAAAGAAAUCCAGCUGGCUAGUACCCGGUUGGGAUGACGGUACCCAAAGAAUAAGCACCGGCUAACUUCGUGCCAGCCGCCGCCGUAA